CAUCUUUACAAGGCCCUUUUGACCCAGGCAGGCUGGAUCCAUCAGUGGAAGAGUGAUGCUUUGUGCCAGCUGGCUCUGCAGCCCCCAGAUAAAGCUUGUGGCUCAUGAGAAAUUGGAAGAACAGUCCCAGGAAAGCUUAAGCAUGAUGUGA
rnacentral:lncRNA from 1 species